AUUGAACGCUGGCGGCAGGCCUAACACAUGCAAGUCGAACGAGUGGCGGACGGGUGAGUAAUGUCUGGGAAACUGCCUGAUGGAGGGGGAUAACUACGGGAAACUGUAGCUAAUACCGCAUAACACAAGAUGGGCCCAGAUGGGUGUAGCUUGUUGGUGGGGUAACGGCUCACCAAGGCGACGAUCCCUAGCUGGUCUGAGAGGAUGACCAGCCAAACUGGAACUGAGACACGGUCCAGACUCCUACGGGAGGCAGCAGUGGGGAAUAUUGCACAAUGGGCGCAAGCCUGAUGCAGCCAGGCCGCGUGUGUGAAGAAGGCCGUCGGGUUGUAAAGUACUGUCAGCGGGGAGGCGUUACCCGCAGAAGAAGCACCGGCUAACUCCGUGCCAGCAGCCGCGGUAAUAC
rnacentral:rRNA from 1 species